AGAGAGAGAGAGAUUUCCUCCAGACUUGCUUUCCUGGGAUGGCUGGCCUCAAUUAUUGGGAAGUUGAUGGUUGGUGCGCUUGGCCUCAAUUAUUAGGAAGUUGAUGGUUGGUGCGCUUGGCCUCAAUUAUUAGGAAGUUGAUGGUUGGUGCGCUUGGCCUCAAUUAUUAGGAAGUUGAUGGCUGGUGCGCUUGGCCUCAAUUAUUGAGUAGUUAUGGAGAGCUCCCGGUUAGGUUUGACGAUGGGUAGAUCCCUAUUGACGAUUUAUACAUUUUUUAAGUCCUGUUGUCCUACUUGUUUGUCAGUCUAUUUUGAUGACAGAAUAAUCUCUAUUUUAAAAAGAUAAAAGAUCAGAUAAUAUUCAAUAGGAUCAAUCUAAUUUUUUUUCUCCCUCUUAUUGUCACGCUCUUGAUCCGAAGCAUAAUAUGGCCGUACUACCAUAAAAUAUUAUCCACAAUAACACGAAACCCACAACAAAAAUUUAUAUAACAUGAUAAAAAAAAAUUUGUUCAAUGCUAAACGAAAAGAAAUGGGUACAGAGCAUCUAAAUUCAACAUUUCAAUUUUCUCAACUACGUAACCCAAAUUUGAUAGUCAUAACUAUACUUAUUGCUAGCUUGCAACUAUAUUUCAAGCUCUAUUCAUUUAUCAUUCAUUCAUUUAUUCUUCUCCACUCCUAGCAACCUUAAUUAUUUAGAAAAAAAUACAUCAAGAGACAAAUGAGCUUUGCGGCUAGUAAGUAAAAUUUUCACAUAAUUCAAUGAAUCAUUUAGAAAGUAAAAUUAUAUAGUAAAGUAAAAUAUUUCAUAAAUAUAAUAACAAACUAUGUCGAAGCAAAUCAAUCAUGUAUGUAUAAAUUAUGCAAGAUCAUAAAGCUGAAGGUGCAAUUUAAAAUAUUCGUGAUUGUCAAAUAUUUGCCAUGUAUCCAUACUUUUAUUUAAAAUAGUGCUCAUAGAUUUUGCAUACUGCAGUUACUAUAACCCAUGACAGGGUCAUUUUCGUAAUUGAUAAAAUAUCAUAGUUUAUAUUCGUUAUUAACUUUAACCCGUUGGCAGAGAACCUUUUUCGUUGAUGCUAGCUCUAGGGUGUCGAUUGGCUUCCACUUCUUGAGGCGGUCAUGGCUAUCUGAGAACUCAUAAAAUAUUUUAUAUUUUUAUAAAUUAUAUCUUUGUAAAUAGGUUAGAAGUGCUAAAUGGCAUCGCAAAAUUUCUAAAUUGCAUAAUCAUGCCACAUAUAUCAUUUUCAUACAAUUUUUCAUAAUUAUAAUUCAUACAUAAAUCAUUUAUAAUAAAAUAUUUAAUAAGAAUGUUAUUGGGCCAAAAAAUAUGGAACAUUUACAAUCAUAUGCUUGAUCCUAAAUUUUUUUAAAAAAUGUAAGAUCAAUCAUGUCAAAUAUAAUUCAUAAUUUUAUAUCUAAAAUUAAUCAGUAAUUUAAAAUUAAUAAGAUUUGUGCCUGGGUCACUUACCACGAUUCGUCUAAAGAUCACUAGGUUCAGUUGGGCAAAUCCGCU
rnacentral:lncRNA from 1 species